rnacentral:rRNA from 1 species
UCAAUAAGCGGAGGAAAAGAAACUAACAAGGAUUCCCCUAGUAACGGCGAGUGAAGAGGGAAAAGCUCAAAUUUUGAAUCUGGCGUCUUUGACUCCCGAGUUGUAAUCUAGAGAAGUGUUUUCCGUGUCGGACCGUGUACAAGUUCCCUGGAACGGGGCGUCAUAGAGGGUGAGAAUCCCGUAUAUGCCACGGACUACCGAUGCUCUGUGAUACACUCUCAACGAGUCGAGUUGUUUGGGAAUGCAGCUCAAAAUGGGUGGUAAAUUCCAUCUAAAGCUAAAUAUUGGCGAGAGACCGAUAGCGAACAAGUACCGUGAGGGAAAGAUGAAAAGCACUUUGGAAAGAGAGUGAAACAGUACGUGAAAUUGUUGAAAGGGAAGCGUUUGAAGUCAGUCAUGUUUGUCGGAAUUCAGCCCGGCUUCUGCCUGGUGUACUUUCCGUCCAACGGGUCAGCAUCAGUUUAGACCGAGGGAAAAAGACGUGAGGAAUGUGGCUGUCUUCGGGCAGUGUUAUAGCCUCGUGUUGUAUGUCUCGGUUGGGAUUGAGGAA